rnacentral:rRNA from 1 species
CAUGCAAGUUGAGCGCAUCCCAGCAAUGGGGAAGCAGCGUAAGGGGCAGUAAGGCAUGGGUAUUUACCCUGGGGUCUGGCAUAGCCCUUCGAGAGAAGGGGUAAUUCCAGAUGAUGUCGUGAGACCAAAGGUCCGCCGCCCUGGGAGAAGCCCAUGUGAUAUUACCUAGUUGGCGGGGUAAUGGCCCACCAAGGGGAAGAUGUCUAGCGGGUGUGAGAGCACGACCCGCGCCACUGGCACUGAGACACUGGCCAGACACCUACGGGUGGCUGCAGUCGAGGAUCUUCGGCAAUGAGCGCAAGCUUGACCGAGCGACGCCGCGUGGGCGAUGAAGGCCUUCGGGUUGUAAAGCCCUGUCGAGGGGGAGAAAAGGAAACUUGAUCUAUCCCUGGAGGAAGCACGGGCUAAGUUCGUGCCAGCAGCCGCGGUAAGACGAACCGUGCGAACGUUGUUCGGAAUCACUGGGCUUAAAGGGCGCGUAGGCGGGUUGCCAAGUCUGUGGUGAAAUCCUUCAGCUUAACUGAAGAAUGGCCGUGGAUACUGGUGAUCUUGAGGGAGGUAGGGGUGUGUGGAACUAUUGGUGGAGCGGUGAAAUGCGUUGAUAUCAAUAGGAACUCCGGUGGCGAAGGCGACACACUGGACCUCUUCUGACGCUGAGGCGCGAAAGCUAGGGGAGCGAACGGGAUUAGAUACCCCGGUAGUCCUAGCCCUAAACGUUGAGAACUGGGUAGUAGGUUAAACUUGGACUUACUGCCGCAGCAAAAGUGCUAAGUCUCCGCC